GGGGAAUCUUGGACAAUGGGCGCAAGCCUGAUCCAGCCAUGCCGCGUGAGUGAUGAAGGCCUUAGGGUCGUAAAGCUCUUUCGCCUGUGAAGAUAAUGACGGUAGCAGGUAAAGAAACCCCGGCUAACUCCGUGCCAGCAGCCGCGGUAAUACGGAGGGGGUUAGCGUUGUUCGGAAUUACUGGGCGUAAAGCGCACGUAGGCGGACUGGAAAGUAUGGGGUGAAAUCCCAGGGCUCAACCCUGGAACUGCCUCAUAAACUAUCAGUCUAGAGUUCGAGAGAGGUGAGUGGAAUUCCGAGUGUAGAGGUGAAAUUCGUAGAUAUUCGGAGGAACACCAGUGGCGAAGGCGGCUCACUGGCUCGAUACUGACGCUGAGGUGCGAAAGUGUGGGGAGCAAACAGGAUUAGAUACCCUGGUAGUCCACACCGUAAACGAUGAAUGCCAGUCGUCGGGUAGCAUGCUAUUCGGUGACACACCUAACG
rnacentral:rRNA from 1 species